rnacentral:lncRNA from 1 species
CACCAUCACUCCAUUUCUAUUUCUCUCCCUCCCUCCCUUUCCCGCACACAAGCUCCCUCGCUCAAACUUUCUCUUCUUUCCCUCUCCUCAUCAUAUACACGCUCACUCCUUUCUGUCUAUCUCUCUCUCUCUUCCCCCCUCACUCACUCACACGCUCACUCCCGUUCUCUAUCUCCUUCUCUCCCUCCCACCCUGUCAGCCUCCCUGUCUGUCUGCCUGACUGACUGUCAGUCGCUACACACAAUUCGCUUCUCGAGGAUUUUUACCAACAUGUGACGGAGCUAUUUACAACUAAACAUAUAUAUAUAUAUACACACGUGUAUAUAUAUUUAUGUACAAAUAUAUAUGUUUCUAAACACUGUGAAGUAUUUAAAAAAAAACAAAUACGGAGGAGAUACGGAAGCAAAGAGUGGAAAAAACCUACAAACUUUAUAAUUGUAAGGAUCAUAUAUAUAUAUAUACACGUUUUCCAGUUUUCUGUUGAUAUAUGAAUAUACACACAUCCCCCCUACACACACACACAUCUAUAUAUAUGCAUGUAUAUACACACAUACAAUCACAUACAGGUGCACACACACAAACAAUACACACACACAUAUAUCUGUACACACACACACACACACAACACGUACACACAUAUAUCUGUAUACAUGACACACAUACACACAUAUAUAUACACAUAUAUGCAACACAUUUCACGUGUAUGUAUAUAUGUGUAUAUAUAUAUAUAUAUGAAUAAUACUACACACAUACUAUACGCCUAUUGUGUAUCUUUUUAUAAACAUAUAUGUUUAAUUGCAUUUAAACACAAUUUAUAUGCGUUUUUUUUUAUAUACACACACACAUAUAUAUAUAUACAUGUAUACUCUUGUGAUUUCGUUUUGCGGUACGGUGAGUGUUUUACCUUUUCGCUGCCGACAGCGUGUAUAAUGUAUACACACACACACAUCAACAUAUAUAUAUAUAUAUAUAUAUAUAUAUAUACACACACACGUUUCACAUCUUCGUCUACAGUGGAUAUAUAUAUAUAUAAACGUACGUAAGAGGCUUUCAGGUGGUGUGUGUGUAUAUAUAGAUGCAUGCAUAUAUAUGUAUGCAUAAAAACACUCACAGACCAGUGUACACAGGUAAGGUAAAUAUAUAUAUAUAUAUAUACACACACAUACACACAAGUGUGUGUGCACAAACUUACAUAUAUACAGUCUUCGAAACAAUCUCUCUGAAAGAUCUCACUGCUUGCGCGAGCAUAAAAUGCAUGCGUACACACAUGUACGCAUGCAUUGUGUGCAUGCGAGAUCUGCUUAUUAAGUAACAGAUAGCAAGAACACACAAACAUACACACACGUGUAUAUACAUCGUAUAACUCCAUAGACCUCUCUUCGCAAAUGUAUUACACGCGCGCACACAAUUGCAUGCUUGUGUGUGUACGCGACUGUUUCUCAAUAUAUAUAUAUAUAUGUGUGUAUAUAUGCGUGUGUAGCUAAGCAACUGUCAUUCGCGCACAUGCAUCUUUCUCUCUCUCUCUUUCUUCCUUUCUUUUUCUCUCCCCACCCAUCCCCCCCUUUUGCUCUAACCGUUGUCUAGCGCGCGCUCACGCAGCACACACACACACACACACACACACACACACAGUCUCAUAUACACAUGUAAACACAACACGAACACACACACACACACACACACAUAUAUAUAUAUAUAUAUACACAUACAUACAUAUAUAUAUAUACACAUACAUAUAUAUACACACACACACACACACACAUAUAUAUAUACACACAUACAUAUACACACACACAUAUAUAUAUAUAUAUACACAUACGUACAUGGGAACACGCUCUCAUACAUGCACAUGUAAACAUACACACACAUAUAUAUACACAUGUACCUCUGUAAACAGUUUUUAUAUAAAUGUAUACACACGCACACAUACUAUCAAAGAUAUAUACACCCCUUCUCUCUCUCUCACACACACACACACACACAUUCAAAAAGUGCUUGUCUGAAAAAAAAAGUUAAACGAAAAAGCAAGCCAAGCUCUAUGGGAGCAAGCGAUCAUCUAGAAAUAGCAGUCAAAUAUUUCUGAAAUCAAACACUAGCGGUUUGCAUAAUACAGGACACAUUUGAGAAUGUAGUCUAAGGUAUACUUGGCCUCAACAUCUUUGUUCAUCGGCUUUGCUGGAUCAACAGCUAUUACCGCUUAUACUACACUUUUCAUUUGAGAAUGUAGUCCUAGAUACUCUGGCUUAAAAAGGCGGGAUGGUCACAAUUUGAACACCUUUGAUCAUAGGUCUGUCUGGAUCAAGACUGACCUGGGGCUAAACAGCAACAGCUAUAACCACUAAUGCUAAUUAUUAUAUUAUACAUUAGAUAAGGUAGCAUUAGAUACACUAUGUCUGAACAAAAGGCGGGGUGGUCACGACUGGAACAUUUGUUCAUAGUUCUGCUGGAUCAUGGCUGACCUAGGGUUGAAGAACUUAAUCCGCUCAAAAUACAACAACAACAACAGCUAAUUGUUCAACAAUAGAACAGGAAACUCCCACAUGGUUGAUGGACUUGCUAGAAAUAACAGUAAACGUUCCCUCAAAUCACUUCCUCCCACCUAAGAGAAUGAUACAUGUAGUAGAUAUAAGAGGAGACGGUCACGGUUGGAGGCCCCUAGAUUGUAGGUGUUUUUAUCGGUGUUUAUCUAGAGAUAAACGGAACCCCUCAACGCCCAACAAGUAGGCGCUAACGAGAGAGCGAUUGUGUGGUCGCUUCGGCAUGCUAGAAAUAGCAGCUAAUGCUUCCCGUUGUCUUUCCUAAAAUCGUUUAAACGUGAGACGAAUAUAUUUAAAUAUGUAAUUAGAGUCGGAGCAAGUAACAGGACGGAGUUUUUGGAAUAGCUACCUCAUGAAUACUAUGCCGAGGGAUGGUCACGACUGGAAUAUAAAUACUUUUGAUCAUAAGUUUUAUGAUUAGGGAUGAAUUAGGGUUAUAAAACAACAAUUUCGACAAAAUAUAUACCAUUUUUUAUAUGAAAAAAUAUAUGACCCCUACUUCAAACCCCGCCCCAUUCCCUACAAAAAUAGGGAUUUCUACUUAGUUGCGAGCUAGCAGAAUUAUUAGCGCGUCGGGAAAAAUGCUUAGUAGUAUUUCUUCCGACGUUCUGGGUUCAAAUACCGGCCGACGUCAACUUAGGUUUUCAUCCUUUUGGGGCCGAUAAAAUAAGUGCCCGUUGAGCACUGGGGUUGAUAUAACUGAGUAGCCCCUUCCCCAAAAUUUCAGGCCUUGCACCCGUUGCAGAAAGGAUACGUUUUGAGUUCAAAUUCCACCGAGGUCGACUUUGCUUUCCCUCCUUUCGGGAUCGAUAAAAUAAAGUACCAAUCAAGUACUGGGGUCGGUAUAUGUACUCGACUAUCCACUUCUAUCAUAAAUGCUGGCCUUGUGCCAAAAACUGAAGCCAUUAUUAUUAAACGCGAUGAGCUGGCAGAAUCGUUAGCGCGACGAACAAAAUUCUUGAGGCUUGUCUUCCGAUGCUUUACGUUCUGAGUUCAAAUUGCGCCGGGGUUGACUUUGCCUUCCAUCAUUUCGGAUUCAAUGAAAUAAGUACCAGUUGAAUACUAGGGGUCGAUGUAAUCGACUUAUCCCCCAUCCCCGAACUAGCUGGCCUUGUGCCAAAACUUGAAAUUAUUAUUAUCCUUAUUAUUUUUAUUAGCCUUUCAUUUUUUGGGGAUCGGUAAAAUAGUGAAAUACUGUAUUUGGCAAUCCUUCGGUAUUGGUCUACGAUGUCAAUCACCUACACAACUUUCUCUUAUAACAUAAAAAGGCUCGACUGAAAGGAGGGCGAAUUACGUCGUCUUAUCCUAACACUUUCUAAACCAAUUCCGAAGGAAUACCCUUUUUUUCCUUUUCAGCCCUAUGAGGAGGAAAAGGAAAGAAAAAAACAAUUUAAAAAAUUGACCUGGGCGGGAAUAGAACUCGAAUCUGAAAAGGCAAAUUUGCUCCCGACUCUACCCUGAAAUUUCUAGAGCUACUCUACCCGACUCUACCCUGAAGUUUCUAGAGCUAUUCUACCCGACUCUAGCCUGAAAUUUCUAGAGCUAUUCUACCCGACUCUACCCUGAAAUUUCUACCGACCUAUGCAAGAAAGUAGUAUUAAUUUAAGGUCCGGGUAUGAAAAUGGUUGAAGAAUGUUUUUUUUUUCUUUUAAUCAAUCAAUUUCUACCGGUAAGGGGGCGGGGAUGGAAAAAUAGAAUAAAAAUAAAAUUGACCUCGGCGAGAAUCGAACUCCAAUCUGAAGAGGCAAAUUUUGCUCCUGACUCUAUUUCUGAAAUUUCUAGACCUACUUCCUACCGACCUACCUAUGCAAGAAAAAAAGGGCUGGAGAUGAAGACAAAUGUUAGGAAGUAGGUAGAGGUACUCUAAUGUCCGUGGUAGGGGGUGGGGGUAAACGCUCUGGGUCCUACCCCCCCCCCCGGCCACCUCCGUCUAAGAGCGCGCCGUCUCCCCCAUCCCGAGUCACCUAGACUUCCACCUUUAUUAUUGAUCAGGGCGAUGAAGUGGGGGAGCCUUUUAGCGCAUCGGGCAGAAAUCCCUUCGCGGUCUUUCGUCACUUUUCGUUCUUGGUUCAAUUCCCGCCCAAGUCGACUUCACUUUUUAUAAUUCUAAGGUUGAUAAAAUAAGGUACCAGUCAAUUUCUAGGGGUCAACUGAAUCGACUAGACCUUUUCUGGCCAAGUGCCUAUUCUAAAUAUAAUUAUCAUUUUCCGAUUAAUUUUUUAUCGUUUACUUGUUUCAAUCACUGGACUGUGGCCAUGCUGGGGCACCGCCUUAGAGAAUUUUAGUCAAAUUGAUCAGCCCCAGUACUUAUUCUUUUAAAACCUAGUAUUCUAUCGGUGUCUUUUGCCGGACCGCUAAGUUAUAGGGACGUAAACACACCAACAUCAGCUGGCAAGCUGUGUGGGGGACAAAUACACACACACAUAUUCAUUAUACGACAGGCUUCUUUCAGUUUCCGUCUAC